rnacentral:misc_RNA from 1 species
UAAUUUAUUUAUAGAUUUAAUAUGAGUACGAUAUAGAGUGAUCGAAAUCUGAUACAAAACUGGUACAACUGAAAAAUUGUUAUACCAAUAUAUUUGUUCUAGAAUGUUUACACAAUUAACAUUUAUCAUGAAUAUUCUUAUAAUACUCUUAAAUAAUCAGAUUCAGAUGCAUUGCUGAUUGAGUAUCACGAACAGUAUAAGAACGCGUCUGUCUAGCACAGGUAUAUUCUACUUACUCGCGGUUUCGAAGUCUGUACAUUAUUCGUCAAUAUCACAGAACCUCAGAUCGAACAUUUUUAUGUGGGUUCCAUUGGCGGCGGCAUGGCGUUCAUUUUGGGUGGUCGGCCAAAUCCACGCGUUCCAUCUGGUCCAGACGGCAUUCUCGUCACAUUCUCUGGAAGAUGAGUCAAUGCGAUACCACUGUUGCUUCUGGGCCGACAAUAGCUACCCUGUUCAGAACCGGAAGAACAUAGAGACAGCCUCCUGGAACCUGCGUCAAAGGCUGAAUCUCGGCUGCAGGCGGACAAUCUUCUCAAAAAUGGUCCGUAAUCCGCGGACCCGCGGCGACUAGAAUGAUAACAAACACCACUGCACUCGGAGCCGGAACUCGAACAACAAGAGAAACGCCGAUUCUCUUGAUAAUAGUAACUCGGCGGGAAAACUGGGUGACAGUAACCAGUCUCAGAACCGGAAGAGCAAGCGGAGUAACGUCUGCCAAAACUUCCGGUUUCGGAACCGGAGCCUGAACCGGAACAGGAAGACAAGCGACGUAGAAUGAAACCGUUCUCUGAACCAGAGACAGAACAAGCGGACAACCGACGGGAUAACCAUGCAUCCGGUGAGGGGGGUCCUGCAACAAUAGCGUUAUAGGGUGAGUUUUAAAAGAUACAGAGGAAGAGAAUAAUUUUUUUUAACCCUUAAGCAGUGAAACUGUUUAAUGACCGAAUAUAUAU